UUAUUUGAGAGUUUGAUCCUGGCUCAGGAUGAACGCUGGCGGCGUGCCUAACACAUGCAAGUUGAGCGAUUUACUUCGGUAAAGAGCGGCGGACGGGUGAGUAACGCGUGGGUAACCUACCCUGUACACACGGAUAACAUACCGAAAGGUAUGCUAAUACGGGAUAAUAUAUUUGAGAGGCAUCUCUUGAAUAUC
rnacentral:rRNA from 1 species